GUCCGAUGAUGAGUUUGCCAUGCUAAUACCGAGAUGUCACACCAGGCGGCUCUGCUCUCUGGUGCUGGAUAUCGCUGAGUUCAUUUAUUUCGCCCAUCAUGUGUGAUGGACUGAGGACA